GGUUGGGGUUGGUGCUGGUAUUAGAGCAGGUGUUGGUGCUGGCGGCAUGGGUGGGGGCGGCGGCAGUGGCGGUGGCCUUAGCGGAGGAGUAGGCACCGGGCUUGGUGGUGGAUCAACUGGUGGAGGAUUUGGCGGCGGAUGGCCAUGAUUCUUGAUGGAAAAUUAGUAAAGCAGUUAAUUAGCAGUGGCGUUAAAGUUAUCGGCCUUAGUGGAGGAGUAGGCUCCGGGCUUGGUGGUGGAUCAAGUGGUGGAGGAUUUGGCGGCGGAUGGCCAUGAUUCUUGAUGGAAAAUUAGUAAACCAGUUAAUUAGCAGUGGCGUUAAAUUAAAGCUAUUGUAUUAUUACCUACUUGGGUUUUGAUUUCAUGUUAUGCUGCUAAGGUUUAGGAAAUCUAUGAGUACGUAGAAUGUAAUGUCGUGUUGGUUAAUAAAUUGAAGGGAAAAAAUGUUUGUUUCGAAGUUGGUUGUGACCAUAUAAAGUGCAG
rnacentral:lncRNA from 1 species